ACUUAAAGCCACGCCAACAUGAACAUGCCUGAGCUCAUCAUGUAAGCAGGGUCAGGCGUGGUUAGUACUUGAAUGGGAGACUGUCUGGGAAUUACAGGUGCUGCAAGCC
ensembl:rRNA 5S_rRNA 5S ribosomal RNA